ensembl:lncRNA
GUAAAUGCAACCUAGCUAUUACGCUCCUCUCCUGGCUGCCAGAUAUAGGAACAUCUCCUGUCAGAUGGAUAAUUCCUGGGAUUUUUACAGUUUGACACAUAAAUGACAUAGCUGAGGAUUCGCAGCUUCCAAUUCUGUUCUACGCUCUGCCUUUUUUUCUGCCUUUUUUUUAUAGCAUGUUUCUCCUGCGGCUGAGAAAAUCCCACCAGGCAAGUGAUGGAAUCUACACUACCAACGUCCUAAGAGUGCACACAGCAUAAUCCUGCUCCGCUUUACUUCGGGAGGACCGUUUCCCAUUUUGGUUAAGGAGAAGUUCAUAAACACCGAUGGGAGAGGGUCACCGUUGGCCCCAACCUCCUGCAGGAAGAAGCAGCAUCCCUGGGGGAGCAGCCCUGUGGCUCCAGCACACGCUGCAAACCCCUUUCUGCAGGAGCUGCUUCAACACUGGGAAAGCCGCAUGCGCUCCCCUCCGGGCUGAUAUCUGAGCGUGCUUGGAGCAAGGCUGCACUGGGAGGGAUGGAUUCCAGAUGUUCGCGUGUCACGUGGGAGCGGUUGGUUUUACAAGCAAGAGAGUUCCCUGAGUAUCUGAUUUUGGCAGCGAUCUCCACUUUUGUCUAAAGAGAAACUGCACAGGAAGUUAGAAAGCACGAGACAAGCGGUAUUCUUGGGUCCUGUGCUUUUCCCAUGUUUGACAAGCUCUGGCCCUGCAUGUGGCCAUCCAGGAGCAAGUUAGAAUCAUAGAAUCAUAGAAUCAUUAAGGCUGGAGAAGACUUCUAAGAUCCCCAAAUCCCAGUCCCAGCCCACCCCCGCAUGCCCACUGCCCACGUCCCUCAGUGCCACAUCUCCACAGCUCUGGGACACCCCUAGGGAUGAUGACCCCCACUCCCUGGCAGCUGUGCCACUGCCUGACUGCUCUUUGGAGAAGGAAUUGUUCCUCAUAUCCAACCUGAACCCAGCUUGAGUUAGAGCCAGCUGGUGCCCAGCCCACACCAUUGCUUCCCUGGAGCCCAUCAGCUGCUGCAAGCAGUCAGCGGUGUGGACAAAACAAAGCAGCAGGAGCUUGCUUCAUAGAAAUGGGGCUUGUAGCCCUGAAGGGGCCCUCGUGAGAAAUGCACGUUAACCAAGCAAUUCUUCUCUCUGCAUUUAUGUAACGUUAGCUGUAAUAUGAGACAUUAAAAAAAAAUCAAUUAUUUGACAAAGAAAUAAACCUAGGAGAAUAAUGUUUGCUCAAUAUAUCACUUCCUUGAAUGAAAUUCACUUUGCCAGGGCCAAGGCAUUAAAAAUACAUUAAAAUAUUUCAAUAUAAAUAGAAUGAGUGGGUUUUACAUUCUUCCCAAACCGCAAAUUCGUAACUUCAUUUGCAUAGGAACUUCUGAGUUCUUUGAUCACUAUUGUAACUGAGCGUACAUAAAAGGAGUGUGCAGAAAAUAAAUGCAGAAAAGUAGAACUGUGGAAAAGAAAAAUGUCAACUGUGGAUAACAGAAACUAGAGACAGUGCAGCAAUGCACAGGUCAGGGCUGACUGCUCUUCACAGCAUGGUUCUGGAUGUUGUGCAGCACUGUCCUGAUGUUGUGUAGGCUUCGAGCUCUUGGCUGUGUCAC